rnacentral:misc_RNA from 1 species
AAGUCGUAACAAGGUCUCCGUAGGUGAACCUGCGGAGGGAUCAUUACCGAGCGAGGGCCCCCGCGCCCGACCUCCAACCCUUUGUGAACCGACCUCUGUUGCCUCGGGGGCGACCCGGCCCCCGCGCCGGCGCCCCCGCCAGGCCCCCAUCAAACACUGCGUCUUUGCGUCCGAGUCAGAUUGCAAAUCAAUCAAAA